UGGUGCUGGGUAUCCUCGAAGACCCACAGAGAGGCACUGUGGCCACUGAAAGGAGUGGGGGACAGAAAUCCCCACAGGCGAGGAGGGCUGUUAGGGAAGGUUUCCAGAUGGUUCUAGAAAGGAUGGAGUAGAUAGGUACUGAUGGGAAUAAACAUAGAGAAAUGGGGAUAAAUGGGUAGGACCCAGGUCUGCAAAGAGCCUUAUAUGCCAUAUUUUGGAGUCCAAACUUAAUCUCAAAAGUUCUAGAAAGCCAGACAACAGAUUUGUGACUGUAGACAGAACACCUAGCAAUAGUAUCCCCGCCGGACCAGAAUCCUCUGAGUACGGAGCUACCUUUGAUGAGACAUCUAAGGAGAAAGGGAAGGCGUCCUGGGGAGCCCUUAUGCCGGACUGCCUAAGGCCCGUGGGGCACAAGCUACGUGAGCAUUUGUGAAAAGGAAGACUGUGUAUCAACGUUAACAACAGCAAUGGCAACAAAGUGGAUCCUUCUGGAACAGCUGUACCAAAUACGGAGAGACCUCACAGACACACUGAUGAGAACAGGGAAGAACUAGAGAAAGUGUUGAUGUGUUCUCUGGACUCUUCCGCAGCGUUGAUAAAGUCAACCUCUUCCAUCUCUGCCUGGUAGAAUUUACGGCAGGAGUCUUUGAAUGACUAGGAGAGAGCAACAUCAUCACAUGGCUGCAGAAAUCAUCAACGCUUACAGCUCGCUUCUUCACCGCACCAAAUCAGGCAGGCAAUUUUGAUUUACACACGUAAGGUAUAAAUAAAUAUGAGGAAUUAACUGAAAA